UACGUAGGGUGCAAGCGUUAUCCGGAAUUAUUGGGCGUAAAGAGCGUGUAGGCGGCCAAACAGGUCCACUGUGAAAACUCGAGGCUCAACCUCGAGAGGUCGGUGGAAACCGUCUGGCUAGAGUCCGGAAGAGGAGAGUGGAAUUCCCGGUGUAGCGGUGAAAUGCGCAGAUAUCGGGAAGAACACCCGUGACGAAGGCGGCUCUCUGGGACGGUACUGACGCUGAGACGCGAAAGCGUGGGGAGCGAACAGG
rnacentral:rRNA from 1 species